UACGAAGGGGGCUAGCGUUGUUCGGAAUUACUGGGCGUAAAGGGCGCGUAGGCGGCCGACCAAGUCAGAUGUGAAAGUCCUGGGCUUAACCUGGGGACUGCAUUUGAUACUGGUUGGCUUGAAUUCGGGAGAGGAUAGCGGAAUUCCCAGUGUAGAGGUGAAAUUCGUAGAUAUUGGGAAGAACACCGGUGGCGAAGGCGGCUAUCUGGACCGACAUUGACGCUGAGGCGCGAAAGCGUGGGGAGCAAACAGG
rnacentral:rRNA from 1 species